UUGUUUAGGGGUUAAAUGAAGAAAAGUAUACUUUUUGCCCUUUUUUCUACCAUGUACCUAUUGAGAUACCAUGAUGCAUCACUCUCCUAUCCUAUUGCCAUGGUCUACCCAAUAAAAUAUGACUAGCUUGCAUAGGAACUACAUCACAUGUCACCUCAUCACUAUACUUCCCAAUAGUAAAAGACACCCUCACUUGCUUAUUAACUCUUAC
rnacentral:lncRNA from 1 species